CUCUCCGUUAGUAGAGCGGAGCUCGCGUCUCCUCGUUCAGUCCUCUGCGCGGAGUCUCCUCACGCUCGUCGUUCAGUGCGCUGGCGCAAGGGUUGUUGCUGUGGGGUUGGAAGCAGGGCAGGUCUACACUACAGCAGGAAUCGAAGCUCUGAGAUCAAUCCACCGGAAGUUGAUUUAGCAGGUCUAGUAAAGACCCACCAGAUCGCUCUCUAGUCGACCCCUGUACUCUACUCCCAAUGAGAAGAGUAAGAGACAACAUGGAACUGGAUGUGAUUCUUGAGCCUGAUGUUCUUUGCUGGGAAGAGGACUUUACCUAUAGAUAACCUAGUGCUUUGAUACUGUGAAAUGUGAGUUGGAGUUUGCUUAACUCACACUGUGGGAAGGGAUGGGCAUUUAAGUACUUUACUGGUCAGCCUGUUAUACAUUCUUGUUUCCGAGAUGAUGGUGCUGUAAUACCUGUUCAAUUCUGAUUGAUUAAUUUGGGCGACACUGUGAAUAUUAAUGCUUUUGAGAGUGAAGGAUUGAUAUCACUAGCUGCAACCUGGCAUUAGAUAGGCCAGCACUGGGUAAUCUCCUCACACACAGCUUUGCCAGUAAUCUCAUUCAUGACAGUAGCCCCCACUAUGCCAGUCCUAUGAUCCCCCAUACUUCUGCCAGUGCUCCUCAUUCUUGACUUGUGACUUCUAUUGCGAGAAUCCUGGGUCUCUGAGUAAAAACUGGAGAUCAGGCCAAAGGAUUUGAUGUUUUGAAACUUGAAGAAACGUCAUCAGGGGACAAUGAUGCAGCCAACCCAACCCUUGUGUCCCAUGCCUUACACUUAGCUAGAUAUAUGAUCUUCUACAUAAAUUAGCUUAUUGUGGAGGUCCUCAUUAGCCAUGGCCAGCUUCCUGGCAAACAAUAUGUCAGCAGGUGUCAUUUAGUGCAUUUAACUUGUAUAAUGUAUUGUCAUGUUUGAUGGUUGGAAAUUGGGGGGGAGACACCUCAGUACUAACACUGUAAUGCCUAAUAAAGCAAGUUUCUGACAUGUA